AAGAUUUUAAGUUAUUUAAACUAGAAGCCUUCAAAGCUUCCAUAAAAAGUUCUAUUCUUUUAAAUCUUA
rnacentral:tRNA from 1 species